UUGGAAACAAGUUUCGAAUGAGUUGAAAGAUAAAAUCUACGAUUGUAUAUCGGUAUGAAUUCUAUAAUUACAUUUUUCUUACAAUGUAGUUUGAUUUCCCUAAGUCUAAAUAUUUUUUUCUUUUUUCUUGUGUGGAUGUCGUUUGAGUUACAUCCCAAUGUUAGACAUUCUAUCCUAAUGUCUGCAUCAAGAAAGUAUCGAACUUUCAAAACUACGUUAACUCUUCUGUAUAUACUUCCGUUUAAGGAUCAACCAUCAUGUUUGUAGUUUCCUCCUAAGAUCUAUUCUCAUAUUAAUCAAGAAGAUUGGAAAUCCUUUGUGGACGCUAGACUGACUGAAGAAUGUGAGGAUUAUAGUCGUAUUCAAAGGGAAAGAAGAUCAAAAUGCAUAUACAAUCAUCACAUUGCUAGUAAGGGAUAUGAAAAUCCUGCCGAAGAAUUAGUAAGUAUUUCUAAUUGAAUGAAAUAAUUUAUCUUAAUAUGUUUAUGCUAAUUAACUAUAUAUCUUUGGUUGCAUAAUAUAACGUGUGAUCUUUCCUAUCGUUCAACUCUUUGGAAAGAAGCAAGAAAAGGAAAAAACAAUGAUUAUUUUGAUGAUGCUACUCGAGAUUGUGUCUCUCGAAUCGAUGCAUUAGCUGAAACACAUAGAGAUGAGGACAUAUUGACUGAGUCAUUGGGCUCUAAGGAGCAUGGUGGACGUGUACGUGGCAUGGGUGGUUUUGUCUCUCAAUCACUAUAUUUCAAGACAGUGAAAGGGAAAGAGAAAAUUGCAAGUU